rnacentral:lncRNA from 1 species
CGCCUAUCUCAUAGGAUACUUGUGAUCAAAUGAAAUUACAUGACAAUGUAUCUGGCGCUAAUAAAACGGUAAUUUAUGAGACACAGAAUGACUACUGACGCCAGCUAGCCUACAAGCCUAAUAGUAGAGAUAAGAUGUUAAUACAUAACCACCAAGAAAUAAACAUGGAGAUCUAGUGAAAACCCAUGACAUGUUUUCUAAAAAUGUCAUCUUCCUUGUGACGAAAGGAGC